CUUCCUUGCCCCCCGCCCCAUAGUUCCUUCGCUUCGGCGCCUCCAGCAGAAGAUGGCAGUGGGGGGCACGCCUGCCAGUCGCAGCCCGGCCGGAGCAAAGAGAUAAAGAGGAGGAGGAAAGGGAGCAGCUGCGGAACAGCAGCAUCUUGCACACAGGUUGAAAUCACAGAGUUGCAUCAACUUGGAUGAACUUAUAGAAAUCCAAACUACAGUUGGUGUGAUUUGAUCUCUUUGUGUCAAAUGUUCAUCUCUCCAUCAACAACAAUGAGUUCAACAACACAACCAGAACUGUUAGAGGAAUGUGGGAGCAUCUCCUAGGAUAGCUUAGUGGCUUCUUUGCAGCUCAGGAACAUCCCUGUAAGUAGACGGUAUUUUGUACUUCUUCUCUCUAAGUUCUUUUUAAGUGGAUGAGCUAGAUUAGCUGUUUUAAACUUUUAGUUACAGAAAUAUUUCCCUCAUGUACAGUAGUGUCCUGUAUAAUAGUAGAUUGUUUCACUAGAGGAGCAAAUUGUAACAGUAGCCACAUGCAUUGCCUUUCACCUUACCAUUGUUAAGUGGCUGGGAUGCCUCCCUGUCAGUUUAAUUUGAGAAACUUCAGGGACUAAACUGGGCAAUUAGUCAAGUGAGCUUCCAUGUACCAUGUGGGCUCAGACCUUGGAGCCUUCUUUGAAGAUGUGCAGGGAAUAGAAGUGUGCAGCACUAGCAAACAAUAUAAAGUCUGUUGUCAGGGAGCCGAUAGGCAGAGCAGUUCACACACACACAGGGCCGGCCCUAUGGCCAGGCUGGGUGGCGCAGGGC